rnacentral:lncRNA from 1 species
AGGAGGAGUCCUCAGUCCUCUUUCCUUUCAUUUUUCCCUUUCCUUCUCUACUGGUUUUUGUUUUCUGGCUCUGAAGGAAUUGUGCAAGAUUUUCUCCAGACACAUACGAUGAUAGCCAUUCUGGUACUUGGUCUUGGUAAAGCACCUCAGAUCCCAGUUUAAUUACGUUGAGUUAGUUGUAAUAAUAUCACUAGUAGUAACACCAUGAUUGGAACAAUUUUCCUUUUAAUGAAGAGAAGGAAUAUUUCUAGCUUCCAGAUUACCCACACUGUUUUCACACAAUCUAGAUUGCUUCUAACCCAUUUAAGCCAACUUUCCCUCAAUUCACUCAGUUUCUUUCAAUAUUUGCAUUUUCUUUCAGCCUGUCAGCAUGAAAAACUCUCAUGCAGCAAUGCCUUAAAAGUCAGCGUGGUACCUUCACAAAGACUCAUGAGGCUAUUUGCUGUUGUGCUACACUUGAUAGCGAGUUUCAUUCUCUGCUUGCUGCAGACAGCCUGUCCUGGCUUAGCCAGCAUUCCUGCUCGUGGGCAGCAUCUUCCCUAACUGCCACCACCACUAGAACCACAAGUUCUCCCCUUCUCAGUAGGUCCUUCUUCCUACUCCCCCCUGGACUUGCCUUUUUAAUAGUUCAUUUAUCCAUGCAGCUUUCGAAUGACAGUAGAUUUCACUCGAGCCUCCCCCCAUAGAUUUACAUAUUUCUUAAUGAUCCUUUGUGACGUAAGUUACGAACUCAGACACACCAGCCCUUCCUCAAAUCUUCUGCUGUGUCAGAAUUUACAUACUGCCAGUUUCUUCUUUCUCUAGACUGCUUCAAAGCAACUCGCAAAUGGUUCUUUCACUGGGUGCCAGCUGCAGCCCCUCGGCCUCUACUCACUGCGACUCAGCCCGUUCCAAUGAUGCAAAGUCCAGUCCAGAUUUUCACGUGCCGAGGCCGUCCUUGAUCUUAGGGGCAAAUACCACAGAGCACUCAGCUUUUUUACAUCUUCUUUUCCCUAAACUCUGAGCCAGCUCCAUCAGCAGGUUGCCUCAUCCCCAUUUUGGAAGUAGAACCAUGAGUGAAGUUCUGUGUGGAUGCACCCAUCCUCCCUACUUGUGUUUUCUGUUGCCGCAAUUUUAUUACCGGCGUGAUGUGCACUUCUUGUAAAUCCAUCAAAAACGUAUCUGAAGCAUACUCGGGAACAUAUUAAGCCUAGGAACCUGAUGUCCUUUUAUUUCUGUCCCCGAAUAACGAUUAGGCAUCUAUUCCCACACUUGACCAUGUCUCGGAUUUGCUGAUUUGCUGAUUUUCUUUGCCCGUGUUCAUCUUUCCAAGUUUUGAGUGAAUGGGCACUUCUCUGAGCCAUUGAACGUCUCCUGAGAAAUAAUUAAGCCAUGGAAUUCCUCGCUUGAGAGGGCAACUAUGAACCCAGACGCGUAGUCCUGUGAAGGCUUCUGAAUUUAAAAGCCCGAGAGCAUUGCCGUCUUGCUCAGCACAGAUAU